rnacentral:lncRNA from 1 species
UCAGCAGCAGUCAGCAGCAGCUGCUUCAGCAGCUUGCGCAGGGAGUAGCAGCAGCAGCUUCAGCAGCAGGCAGUGAGCAGCAGCAGCAGGAGCUUCAGCAGCAACAGUAGCUUCAGCUGCAGGGAAGAAAGAAAAGAAAGAAACUGCAGCAGGGAAAAGAAAGAAAGGAAGAAAAGAAUGAAAGAAAGAAAGAAAGAAAAGAAAGAAAGCAAGUAAGGAAGAAAGAAAGAAAAAGAAAUAGAAGAGAGGAAAAAUGAAAGAAAGAAAAAGAGAAAGAACGAGUUGAAAGAACUCGAUGUAAUUGUGAAAUUGCAAUUGCAAAGAAAGUGAAAUUGCAUUGAAAUGGGUUUGUAUUGAAAAUUGACC